UCUCUGGUGGUCUAGCGGCAAAGGAUCCUGCGCUCUCACCGCCGUGGCCCGGGUUGGAUUCCCAGGUAGGGAA
rnacentral:tRNA from 1 species